UUGAACGCUGGCGGCAGGCCUAACCCAUGCAGGUCGCGCGGAUGAAGGGAGCUUGCUCCUGGAUUCAGCGGCGGACGGGUGAGUAAUGCCUAGGAAUCUGCCUGGUAGUGGGGGAUAACGUCCGGAAACGGGCGCUAAUACCGCAUACGUCCUGAGGGAGAAAGUGGGGGAUCUUCGGACCUCACGCUAUCAGAUGAGCCUAGGUCGGAUUAGCUAGUUGGUGGGGUAAAGGCCUACCAAGGCGACGAUCCGUAACUGGUCUGAGAGGAUGAUCAGUCACACUGGAACUGAGACACGGUCCAGACUCCUACGGGAGGCAGCAGUGGGGAAUAUUGGACAAUGGGCGAAAGCCUGAUCCAGCCAUGCCGCGUGUGUGAAGAAGGUCUUCGGAUUGUAAAGCACUUUAAGUUGGGAGGAAGGGCAAUAAGUUAAUACCUUGCUGUUUUGACGUUACCAACAGAAUAAGCACCGGCUAACUUCGUG
rnacentral:rRNA from 1 species